rnacentral:rRNA from 1 species
AGCAGCCGCGGUAAUUCCAGCUCCAAUAGCGUAUAUUAAAGUUGUUGCAGUUAAAAAGCUCGUAGUUGAAUUUCGGGAUCAAUAUUUCGGUCAUGCCGUUGGUAUGCACUGUUAUCAUUGAUUUCUCACCUUCUAAAGAACCGUAAUGCCAUUAAUUUGGUGUUACGGGGAAUUAGGACUGUUACCUUGAAAAAAUUAGAGUGUUUAAAGCAGGCUCACGCUUGAAUACAUUAGCAUGGAAUAAUGAAAUAGGACACCCGAUUCUAUUUUGUUGGUUUCUAGGAUCGAUGUAAUGAUUAAUAGGGAUAGUUGGGGGCAUUAGUAUUCAAUUGUCAGAGGUGAAAUUCUUGGAUUUAUUGAAGACUAACUACUGCGAAAGCAUUUGCCAAGGAUGUUUUCAUUAAUCAAGAACGAAAGUUAGGGGAUCGAAGACGAUCAGAUACCGUCGUAGUCUUAACCAUAAACUAUGCCGACUAGGGAUCGGAUGAUGUUAAUUUUUAANGA